rnacentral:rRNA from 1 species
UACGUAGGGUGCAAGCGUUGUCCGGAAUUAUUGGGCGUAAAGAGCUCGUAGGCGGUCUGUCGCGUCGGCUGUGAAAACUCGGGGCUCAACUCCGAGCUUGCAGUCGAUACGGGCAGGCUAGAGUUCGGCAGGGGAGACUGGCAUUCCUGGUGUAGCGGUGAAAUGCGCAGAUAUCAGGAGGAACACCGGUGGCGAAGGCGGGUCUCUGGGCCGAUACUGACGCUGAGGAGCGAAAGCGUGGGGAGCGAACAGG